GGUAGGGUGGGGCAGAGGGGAGGGCCCGAAGGGAUGUGCAACUUCUCAAGACUCAGAACAGCCUGGUGACUGUUCAUCACCACCCAUCUGUCAUGAACUGGCAGCGGCCAGAGUUCCAAGCCCAGGUGCCCAUCUGGCCCCUCUUGGGGAACCUGCCUCAGGUCACUCGGGAGGACCCCAGUUUUGGCCUCUGGCCAUACUAAGAGACAUGCAUUGUGGCCCUGAGGCCCUCCCUUAUCUGACAACCCACACAGGCAGAGCCUCACCAUCCAGUGCCUGUCCCCUUCCUGUCUGCUACUCCCCACUCGGAGGUGCCCAGUCUCUCCAGCCAGACUGAGAGCUCCCCCGGGACAAGUAGUCAUCUCCUGCAUCUCUCCACAGUGCUCAGGCAGGCCCGGAGCUGGAGAGCAUCUCUUGCAAAACCCUGGGCCUGCAAAACCCUGCAGUCAGCAGCUGUUCACCUGCUCUGUCCAUUGCCCACCUGGCUUCUCUGAGUCCUUCCCUGGGGACAACCUAGGCUGGACUCAGGGGUGCAGGGAGCAGAGUGAGAGGCAGGGAGGGCAGAGAAAGGUAACUAGCUCUGCUCCUGCAAUAGAGACUCGUCCAACCAGCAGCCCGGGCUAAAGAUCCCAGAACAAGCGCCACUGUGUCCACGACAUACAGCAGGCACAACCCGUCUGGCUCCCUCAGCAGGACUACUGGAGAUGGAAGGUGGCAACCGGGAAUUAAAAUUGCAGAUGGAAUCAAUCAGGUAAUCUUAAAACAAAGAUUAUCCUGGAUUAUCUGGCUGGUCCAGAAGAAUCAGAACCAGAGAGAUGGAACUGUGUGAAAGACUUGACUAGCCUUGACUUGCUGGCUUUGAAGAUGGAGGAAGGCGCCACAAGCCACGGCAUGCAGGCAACCUCUACAGCUGGAAAGGGCAAUGAAGCAGAUUCUCUACUCGAGCCUCCAAAAGGAAUGCAGCCCUACUGACACCGUGACGUUAGUCUGUUAAGACCCAUUUUGGGUUUCUGACCUAGAGAACUGUACGAUAAUAAAUCUGUGUUUUAAGCCGCUUA